AUUGAACGCUGGCGGCAUGCCUUACACAUGCAAGUCGAACGGUAACAGGUCUUCGGAUGCUGACGAGUGGCGAACGGGUGAGUAAUACAUCGGAACGUGCCCGAUCGUGGGGGAUAACGAAGCGAAAGCUUUGCUAAUACCGCAUACGAUCUACGGGUGAAAGCAGGGGACCUUCGGGCCUUGCGCGAUUGAAUGAGCCGAUGUCGGAUUAGCUAGCUGGCGGGGUAAAGGCCCACAAAGGCGACGAUCCGUAGCUGGUCUGAGAGGAUGAUCAGCCACACUGGAACUGAGACACGGUCCAGACUCCUACGGGAGGCAGCAGUGGGGAAUAUUGGACAAUGGGCGCAAGCCUGAUCCAGCCAUACCGCGUGCAGGAUGAAGGCCUUCGGGUUGUAAACUGCUUUUGUACGGAACGAAAAGCCCCGGGUUAAUACCCUGGGGUCAUGACGGUACCGUAAGAAUAAGCACCGGCUAACUACGUGCCAGCCGCCGCCGUAA
rnacentral:rRNA from 1 species